UGCAUCGGCGUUGGAUUAGGCCAGCAUCGAUUGUUUGGAGGAGGUAACAACCAUUGUUCCUUCCCGAUCUCUGUCCCUGUUCGUCGGCAAGAACAAGUCGUUGCCCUAACUUCGAUCUUGGAGAGACUGGUAUUUUGGUCCCGGCCACCACAGCUCUGUUGGAUCGAUCUCUUCUUCGUAUCAGUGAUCAUCUCCGGUGAUUGAAGGGUGCAGAGAGGAUGCGAUGUGCUUAUUUUAGAUACUGGAUUGGGAAGUGCAGAGAAUCAAGCAAGGGUCAAGGAGUUGCUUCAUGUGGAGGAAUCAAAACUAGAGGAGGAUGAGGGAAAUACCACUCCAGCAGUGAGAUGGGUUCGAGAUGAUAAAUAUGAUUGCAUCCGAUUAAAGCAUUGCAAGGUUGUGACAAAAAUUGAUUGGCAUCGGAAAGGAGACUAUUUCACUACUGUCGUUCCUAGUGAUAUCCUAAUUAUGAAUUUUAGUUGUACUUAUUUUUAGUCAUUCCUAGUGCCUAUUUUAUAUCUCAGUUUUGUUUCUUUCUUUUUUCUAAUACACACUGACAAAUUGGAAAUAUAUAAAAAUCAUGACAUUAUACCUAGUUACCUAGCCUUUGAGGCUGGAAUCAGGAUGAAACCUAAAGUGCCCUGAAAAGUUUAGGCAUACCAAAUUCUCUCAGUUUAAUGACAGAGGUGUUUUAGAUUGUAAAUUUCAUCCGAGGCAGCCAUGGCUAUUCACAGCUGGAGCAGAUUCUGUCAUUAAACUGUAUUGCCACUAAUGAUAGAUUCUCCAGGAAACUUUGAAGAAUCUCCUCGAGUCAAGAUACCUUCAAGAUAUCAAACUCUACACCUUCUAUAUGGAGCUAGAUUUGCAAAAGUCAUAUCCAACUCGAGGAAGUGACUUAUUGACAUGGGAGAGAACUUAUUGGUAACCAAGGACUUUGUGAAGAUAGCAAAUUUUGGCCUUGCUCGUGAAGUUCAUUCGAAGCCACCAUUCACAGAAUAGGUUUCAACACGCUGUUUACAAAUCUCAAGUACUCCAGAGUUGAAAUUGAUGAAGUGCAGUUCGAGUGGGCUG